UACGGGGGGGGCAAGCGUUGUUCGGAAUUACUGGGCGUAAAGGGCUCGUAGGUGGCCAACUAAGUCAGACGUGAAAUCCCUCGGCUUAACCGGGGAACUGCGUCUGAUACUGGAUGGCUUGAGUUUGGGAGAGGGAUGCGGAAUUCCAGGUGUAGCGGUGAAAUGCGUAGAUAUCUGGAGGAACACCGGUGGCGAAGGCGGCCUGCUGGGCAGUGGCUGACACUGAGGCGCGACAGCGUGGGGAGCAAACAGG
rnacentral:rRNA from 1 species